GCCACGCGCUGGGACUCGGAGAUCAGCUGAGCGUUGCAGAUGUUACAGUAGCUCUCCGUGAAGAGUCCUUCAUCACCAGCUCCGGCAGACUUCAUCUGAUCAAACACACACACACAUAAAGAACGCUUUAACCAGCAGAUGUUCUCAGUAUGCAGAUUACCGAGUGCUUUGCAACUGAUAAUUUUGCAAAUGACUCUGGAGCCGCAGGACAAAGACUUGCUCACAAUGCUGAUUGGUUGAUACCAACACAAGAACACCUUCACUAACGAUCAUCCGGAAAUGUGACAUUUAAGGCAGCAGACACGAAAAAAUCCCUCAUGAGUGACCUUCAGAGCUGAACAAGAGAACAGCACAGACAUCUGCUGGCUCAGUAAAUGAGCUGAAGUUCUCCACCACAUGAUAUCAUUAGGCCUCUUUAAAUAAAUGUGCUUAUACGCUCUAGAAUGGCAAUUACAAAUACCAUCGUGAAACAGAAUGUAAUGCACCAUGUGCUGCCAUAUGUGUCAAAUGAUGCAAAGCAUCAUAAAGCACUGUUUUGUGCCUAAUAUAGAGAGGAUUAUUUGAUUGUCAGCUGCAGUGAAGAAAUACACAUUGACAGUCGUUCUGAACGCUUUCCAUGUAAUCUGAUAAUCAGCACUAUUACAUGCUUUAGUGCUCCAACUGUACGUACUGGGGUUACAGUAUCAAAGAUCAUAGGGUUUUUUUCUCACAGCGUCCCAUAUCCACCCAGCAGAACGUCAGUCUCUGGGGGGGAAAGACUCUGAUAUGAAGGUAGAGAAACGUGUAUGUAAAUGAAAUUAAUUUUGGCAGGCUUGAAAGCCUCAGGCUCCCACGACUGGCACCGAAUCCCACAGCCUCUUCAAAGCGUCCCUAAAAAGUUGAUGAGAACUUUUUUUUCCACCCAUCCACCAGCACGAGGGAAGCAUUAAAAAUACAUCAGCUAAAAGACGAAAGAGAUCUGGGCCUCGGUUCUCCCUUCGCGAUCUCUUCCCCCACCAACCCCACAGAGAAGAGCAGCAGAAAUCUCUUCAUCUGCUUCGCUUUCUUGUCGCAAUUAGGAACAUUUCCUGUCCGAUUCCGUCCCACAGGUUGACUGGCUGCUGAUUAAAACAUCAGGAAGAGGGGUUCUCCCUUUUGCAAUGACUUUAAAUGACGUGCUGUAUUGCUGCAAACACCGUCGGCCUGUUUCCAUCACUCGUGUGUGGUAAAAUAACAAUCAUGAAUGAAAGCAGCUCCACUAAUGUGCCAUGGCAAGUAUGUGAGGUAUUUAUCUUCCACACACCCUCGCUUCAGAAUAAAUGAGGAGAGACAGAAACACAAGCAGUGUUUUAUAUAUCGCUCAAUCCCUACAGUCAUUUCAUUGGC